rnacentral:rRNA from 1 species
UACGUAGGGUGCGAGCGUUAAUCGGAAUUACUGGGCGUAAAGCGUGCGCAGGCGGUUCUCCAAGUCCGUUGUGAAAGCCCCGGGCUCAACCUGGGAAUGGCAGUGGAAACUAGGGGACUGGAAUCUGGCAGAGGGGGGUGGAAUGCCGCGUGUAGCAGUGAAAUGCGUAGAGAUGCGGCGGAACACCGAUGGCGAAGGCAGCCCCCUGGGCUGAGAUUGACGCUCAGGCACGAAAGCGUGGGGAGCGAACGGG